GCAGCAGCAUCCUCCUGUCCCAAGACUUUGCUCACAGCACAUUCUCACGGAUGCUGAGUCGGACAGGCUUGGGGCUCAUGGCCCUGACCUUGGAGCUGAACCAUGUGACCCUCAUCUACUCCAGCCUUUAGGCAUAUCCGCUGGCCUUCUGGACACCAGCGACAACGAAGCAGGAACUGAUCUGAUGUUGUCGGACGGCUCUGUGGCUCACAGCCUGGAGGAGCUCAGCCCGGCCUGGCAGGUGGAUGGUGACUGCAGGGCCACCGAGAAGCCUGAGCCGACCUGCCCAGGACAGAGCCCCGCCCGCCGGGCCUUCUUUCAAAACCCCUCAUCCAGCUUGGGGAACUGCUUCCGGGUGGUGAGUGUGAGCCUGUGCCCUGGAGCACAGCAAGCUCUUUCCCCAAUAUACCCUGGGGAUUGGCAUGGAGCAGAGGCCUAGGCUAGAGACAGUGA
rnacentral:lncRNA from 13 species